GCCGCCGCGGUAAUACGUAGGUUGCAAGCGUUGUCCGGAAUUACUGGGUGUAAAGGGCGUGUAGGCGGAGAUGCAAGUCGGGAGUGAAAUCCAUGGGCUCAACCCAUGAACUGCUUUCGAAACUGUAUCCCUUGAGUAUCGGAGAGGCAAGCGGAAUUCCUAGUGUAGCGGUGAAAUGCGUAGAUAUUAGGAGGAACACCAGUGGCGAAGGCGGCUUGCUGGACGACAACUGACGCUGAGGCGCGAAAGCGUGGGGAGCAAACAGGAUUAGAUACCCC
rnacentral:rRNA from 1 species